rnacentral:ncRNA from 1 species
UGAAAGACGAUGAAAGAGGAAAGUAGGUAUGUAGAGGAUUAAAGAGAGUCCGGGAUGGUGGAAGCCGGACAUCUUAAGCAUAUUGAAGUUCCCUCUUAAGUUGCGAUCUGAAACUAAAGUAGGUGAUGCCGGAGUCUUCUACCGUUAAAAAGAAGGGAGUAUGAUUGUACUCUUAGAGUGAACCUUUCAUGGUUAAUAAAGGUGGUACCGCGGAAAAUCUCCGUCCUUUGG